AAGCAGGAAGCCGGUGUGAAUCCGGCACGGUCCCGCCACUGUGACCGGGGAGUGCACCCUUCGACACGCCACUGCGCGCCGCGCGGGAAGGCGAGGGGGAGCGUCGAUCCGGGAGUCAGGACACUG
rnacentral:ncRNA from 1 species